UACGGAGGAUGCGAGCGUUAUCCGGAUUUAUUGGGUUUAAAGGGUGCGUAGGCGGACGCUUAAGUCAGAGGUAAAAUUGCGGGGCUCAACCUCGUCGAGCCGUUGAAACUGGGUGUCUUGAGUGGGCGAGAAGUACGCGGAAUGCGUGGUGUAGCGGUGAAAUGCAUAGAUAUCACGCAGAACUCCGAUUGCGAAGGCAGCGUACCGGCGCCCAACUGACGCUGAAGCACGAAGGCGUGGGUAUCGAACAGG
rnacentral:rRNA from 1 species